rnacentral:rRNA from 1 species
AUUGAACGCUGGCGGCAGGCCUAACACAUGCAAGUCGAACGGUAACAGGAAGAAGCUUGCUUCUUUGCUGACGAGUGGCGGACGGGUGAGUAAUGUCUGGGAAACUGCCUGAUGGAGGGGGAUAACUACUGGAAACGGUAGCUAAUACCGCAUAACGUCGCAAGACCAAAGAGGGGGACCUUCGGGCCUCUUGCCAUCGGAUGUGACCAGAUGGGAUUAGCUAGUAGGUGGGGUAACGGCUCACCUAGGCGACGAUCCCUAGCUGGUCUGAGAGGAUGACCAGCCACACUGGAACUGAGACACGGUCCAGACUCCUACGGGAGGCAGCAGUGGGGAAUAUUGCACAAUGGGCGCAAGCCUGAUGCAGCCAUGCCGCGUGUAUGAAGAAGGCCUUCGGGUUGUAAAGUACUUUCAGCGGGGAGGAAGGGAGUAAAGUUAAUACCUUUACUCAUUGACGUUACCCGCAGAAGAAGCACCGGCUAACUCCGUG